CAGGUGCUGCAUGGCUGUCGUCAGCUCGUGUUGUGAAAUGUUGGGUUAAGUCCCGCAACGAGCGCAACCCUUAUCCUUUGUUGCCAGCGAUUAGGUCGGGAACUCAAAGGAGACUGCCAGUGAUAAACUGGAGGAAGGUGGGGAUGACGUCAAGUCAUCAUGGCCCUUACGACCAGGGCUACACACGUGCUACAAUGGCGCAUACAAAGAGAAGCGACCUCGCGAGAGCAAGCGGACCUCAUAAAGUGCGUCGUAGUCCGGAUUGGAGUCUGCAACUCGACUCCAUGAAGUCGGAAUCGCUAGUAAUCGUGGAUCAGAAUGCCACGGUGAAUACGUUCCCGGGCCUUGUACACACCGCCCGUCACACCAUGGGAGUGGGUUGCAAAAGAAGUAGGUAGCUUAACCUUCGGGAGGGCGCUUACCACUUUGUGAUUCAUGACUGGGGUGAAGUCGUAACAAGGUAACCGUAGGGGAACCUGCGGUUGGAUCACCUCCUUA
rnacentral:rRNA from 3 species